GAUGAAGAACGUAGCGAAAUGCGAUAAGUAAUGUGAAUUGCAGAUUUCAGUGAAUCAUCGAAUCUUUGAACGCACCUUGCGCCUUGUGGUAUUCCACAAGGCAUGCCCGUUUGAGUAUCAUUAAAUCAUCAACUCUAAAACCUUUGUGGUUUUUUUAGAGCUUGGUCUUGAGGGUUUUGCAGGCUUUUUUUUUCGUGUCUGCUCCCUUUAAAUUCAUUAGCGAGACUUCCCUAUGCUGAACCGUCUCUUUGACGUGAUAAUUAUCUGCGUCGAAUUUUGGUUCUCGUUGGGCUUGCUUCUAAUCGUCUGUUAAAGACAAAACGGAUUUGGGUGCAUAUAUGCGCCUUUUUCCAAAACCUUUUUUGAUCUCAAAUCGGGUAGGACUACCCGCUGAACUUAAGCAUAUCAAUAAGCGGAGGA
rnacentral:misc_RNA from 1 species